GAUGAACGCUGGCGGCGUGCCUAAUACAUGCAAGUCGAGCGAACGGGCGAGAAGCUUGCUUCUCUGAUGUUAGCGGCGGACGGGUGAGUAACACGUGGAUAACCUACCUAUAAGACUGGGAUAACUUCGGGAAACCGUAGCUAAUACCGGAUAAUAUUUUGAACCGCAUGGUUCAAAAGUGAAAGACGGUCUUGCUGUCACUUAUAGAUGGAUCCGCGCUGCAUUAGCUAGUUGGUAAGGUAACGGCUUACCAAGGCAACGAUGCAUAGCCGACCUGAGAGUGUGAUCGGCCACACUGGAACUGAGACACGGUCCAGACUCCUACGGGAGGCAGCAGUAGGGAAUCUUCCGCAAUGGGCGAAAGCCUGACGGAGCAACGCCGCGUGAGUGAUGAAGGUCUUCGGAUCGUAAAACUCUGUUAUUAGGGAAGAACAUAUGUGUAAGUAACUGUGCACAUCUUGACGGUACCUAAUCAGAAAGCCACGGCUAACUACGUG
rnacentral:rRNA from 1 species